AUGGCCUGGACUCCUCUCCUCUUCUUCCUCCUUCAUUGCACAGGGUCUUUCUCUCAACCUGUGUUGACUCAGUCACCCUCUGCUUCUGCCUCCCUAAGAAGCUCAGUCAAACUCACCUGCACCCUGAGUAGUGAGCACAGCAGCUAUACCAUUAAUUGGUACCAGCAACAUCCAGACAAGGCUCCCAAGUAUGUGAUGUAUCUUAAGAGUGAUGGAAGCCACAGCAAAGGAGAUGGGAUCCCCGAUCGCUUCUCUGGCUCCAGCUCUGGGGCUCAUCGCUACUUAAGCAUCUCCAAUGUCCAGUCUGAAGAUGAUGCUACCUAUUUCUGUGGUGCAGAUUAUAACAUUGCUGGACAAUUUGGGUGA